GGUUAACAAAAGGUAUUAAAACGCAGAGAAAGUGUUAUCGGUUUUAUUUAGUAUUUUUUUUCUUCAUUUCCUAAUGUAACUUCCGGAUCUCAAGGAGGAGGAGCUGAGCGUGGAGGCACGCAGCUGGAGUCUCUUGCGUCGAACGUGUUAUGACGUCAGAAUGAGUUCGAGUAGAUCAUAGAAGCGAGUGCGAGUAGAUCAAAGAAGCUAGAGCGCGAUUUCGAACGCAGUCACCACUUGGAUUUUUCCAAACACACUACUAGCUGGCAUUACUAGACGAGAAGAGACUUUAAAAUGACUACACUUGCGUACACGAAAAGCCGCAAAACAUCGAAAAGAACAACAUUUCAGGAUGAACUCCGGGCUGCUGUGUUGGAAAGAGUAAAAAAGACCAGCCCUGACCAGUACACCUGCUAUGAGGACAUUGAGGAAGCUGUCGAUGGACAUUCUACCACCAGUUGCCAGUCCCCCGAACGUGGGACCUGUAACACCGCCAUUGACCAGUACCCCUACUGUGAUGACUCUGAGGAAGAUGUAGAUGGACAAUCUACCACCAGUUGCCAGUCCCCCGAAUGUGGGACCUGUAACACCGCCAUUGACCAGUACCUCUACUGUGAUGACUCUGAGGAAGAUGUAGAUGUAGAUGAUUUGCUGAUUCAACUUAAAUCAAGAAUAAAGAAGACGGAUGCUUUCAAGGCCUCAAAGGGGAAAGUCACAUCCAACAUUUCUGAGCUGUCAGACGAUGAGGGCGGAGAAAAUCGAAUGGAGAAUAUCUCGUUUCUGAAAACCCAAAAGAAGUUCUCUCCCCAGAACUACGCGUCAAAGUCUCAAGAUAAUGAAGUAGCUGAUUCUUCUGUCAACAAUUACAACGACUUGUUCCAAACAAUGAAAGCAGAGAUUUCAGCUAUCAACAACACAGUAAAGUUAUCAGCAUCAGAUGUCACUCAUAUGGAAUCCACAGAUGACUUUGUGCCUAAUCGCAGCAAAGAGCAGGAAACGAACUAUACUGCAUCACAUGAAGAAUGGAUUGUAAGUCAUGUUCUACCUGUUUUCAAAUGCCCGACCCCAAGGUUAAAUGGUAAAAUGUCUUUUCUCAUGUUGCAGGAAUGGCUUGAAAAGAAGAAAUUAAAAUCAAAAGAGAUGAAGCAGCGAAAGCAGGAAGGAAAACAGAAAAAGGUACAGAAAAUAAGAAAAGAUUUUCCUGACAACUAA
rnacentral:lncRNA from 1 species